rnacentral:lncRNA from 10 species
AGCCUUUCAAGGAACAUGGAGAAGUUAACGUGAGGAUGUCAGAACAAGAACACAGAGGGUCCCUUGGUCCCUAAUACUUUGGGGGCCACCAUAUUAUCCCUGGACUGCUUAGCAUGGACCGUUAUAUAAUAGAGAAAUAAAUUUAUUUCCUGUAUUUGCCAUUGCUAUUUUUGCCUUCGAUAAUGCAGCUGAUCUGAAAACUAAUUAAUUCAGAGAUAAAAAGAGAACGUACGUUCUGACUAAUCAUGGUGAAUAGUCUCUGUUCUGUUCUUUAUUAAAAAGCAUGGAUUUCUCUGUUGUGAUGUCUUCCUAUUUAAGGUAAAAAGAUAAGGUCUUUCUUCUUUUUUUCUCUUUUUAAAUUUCAAUAUCUUUUGAGGUACAAGUGGUUUUUGGUUACAUGGAUGAGGUCUGUAGCAGUGAAUUCUGAGAUUUUAGUGUACCCAUUACCCAAGCAGUGUACACUGUACCCAAUAUGUAGUCUUUUAUCCCUCAUCCCUCUCCCAACCUUCCCUCUGGGUCCUCAAAGUCCAUUAUAUCACUCUGUAUGUCUUUGCAUCCUCAUAGCUUAGCUGAAUCAAGAUAUAUUUUAAAGGCAAAAAUGUUAACACUUGAUAAUGGAUUGGAUAUGUGGCAUUUAGAGAUUGGAUAGGUUGGGAUUUUUUAAACGUUCUGAAUUGUAAUUUAUGUUAGAAAUUGUCCAAAGCACUUUCAUUAAACUUCUGAUUUCUC